ACAGCUUUCGUAAAAUAGGCUCCCAAAGCUCAUUGACUUUAGCUGGAUCACGAUUGCUAGCUAAAAUCCGAGCGUUCAAUAACUGAGGAAUACACUUACAACAAGCAGAACGAACCCCGUCGUGAAAGAAGAACUUCAAUCCUGGAAGUACAACAGAUGUCAAAACUUCAUUGACGUAAGGAUCAAAGUCAGCUUUUAACUCAGCAGCAUAGCAGACAAGCAUUUCGGUGGCAGUACACUUGUCUUCUAACGUACUAGUCCUAAUACCAACCUGUUGACCAUGAACGGGAAUGAACUCCCAACCAUCUUGUUCAGAAUAUUUGCUUUCAUCAACCUCGUCGUCUAUAAUUGUGAAGUCAGGUUUCGAGGUAGCAGCAACCAACAGAGGAGGCAUAACUGAACUCAAAAAUGGGACAAAAUCGCUUCCUAAAACACGGCAAAUUCUUCCCCAGGCAGAGAUGAGAUAACUAGCUUGAGGAUCAUCACUGUCAGUAAUACCCAUUUGAAUGUUACCUA